UACGUAGGGUGCAAGCGUUGUCCGGAAUUAUUGGGCGUAAAGAGCUCGUAGGCGGUUCGUCGCGUCGGCUGUGAAAUCCCGAGGCUCAACCUCGGGUCUGCAGUCGAUACGGGCGGACUGGAGUUCGGCAGGGGAGACUGGAAUUCCUGGUGUAGCGGUGAAAUGCGCAGAUAUCAGGAGGAACACCGGUGGCGAAGGCAGCCAUCUGGACCGACACUGACGCUGAGGCGCGAAAGCGUGGGGAGCAAACAGG
rnacentral:rRNA from 1 species